rnacentral:rRNA from 1 species
CACAGAGUUAGCCGGUGCUUCUUCUUUGGGUACCAUCAGGGACGGAGAUGUUAGCUCCGCCUUGUUUGUCCCCACCGAAAGUGCUUUACAACCAAGGCCUUCUUCACACACGCGGCAUUGCUGGAUCAGGGUUGCCCCCAUUGUCCAAUAUUCCCCA